UUUCAGGUGCUCACCCCUUGGGUGGGAGAAUCGGGAAAUCGGUGAAAAUCCGAUACGUGCCCAGCGCUGUAAUGGUGAUUGUUUAAUGUUUGAGCCACUGGUUUUUUAGAUUCCGGGAAGGCCAUUAAACGAAAUGACCCUAAGUCAGAAGACCGGCCUGAAAGUGA
rnacentral:ncRNA from 1 species